rnacentral:rRNA from 1 species
AUUGAACGCUGGCGGCAUGCCUUACACAUGCAAGUCGAACGGCAGCGGGGACUUCGGUCCGCCGGCGAGUGGCGAACGGGUGAGUAAUGUAUCGGAACGUACCAUUCAGUGGGGGAUAACUAUCCGAAAGGAUAGCUAAUACCGCAUAUUCUGUGAGCAGGAAAGCAGGGGAUCGCAAGACCUUGCGCCGAUUGAGCGGCCGAUAUCAGAUUAGCUAGUUGGUGAGGUAACGGCUCACCAAGGCUACGAUCUGUAGCGGGUCUGAGAGGAUGAUCCGCCACACUGGGACUGAGACACGGCCCAGACUCCUACGGGAGGCAGCAGUGGGGAAUUUUGGACAAUGGGCGCAAGCCUGAUCCAGCCAUGCCGCGUGAGUGAAGAAGGCCUUCGAGUUGUAAAGCUCUUUCGGCCGGGAAGAAAUCGCAUCAGCUAAUACCUGGUGUGGAUGACGGUACCGGAAUAAGAAGCACCGGCUAACUACGUGCCAGCCGCCGCAGUAACAC